rnacentral:tRNA from 1 species
CUGGGUACAGUUCAGUGGUAGAAUACUUGCCCAGCACAUGCAAGGCCCUGGGUUCAAUCCUCAGUGCCAAAG